rnacentral:lncRNA from 1 species
UUUUAAACUCUCUUAAGUUCAAGCCCUAAAUCACCAUUUUUGACCUUUAAAUUCCUCGAUUAUUCAGUCUAAAUCCAUAUUUUUACACCAUAAAAUCAUAUUCUAAGUCCAAGAAUCCAUACUUGGUUAAAGCCCUCGAAACCCUCUUCAAAAUCGCCAUAAACCUCUUCAAGGGCGAAGUUCAAAAUGUUGUUCUUUAAAAAAUUCGUGAAGAAGACUAUUUCACUUAACUGCCCAGGCAAUUCCACUUCUGCGGUAAAAAUGUCGCUUCUGCGACUUGCACAUCUGCAGUCCUUCACUUAAGGGCCUUGACCGCUUCUGCACCCCAAUUAACGCACCAGCGGGACCACUUCUGCGGUCCAGGCUCCCGCUUCUGCAAAACCUGCUCAAACUCCAAGCUCGUAUCUGUGGC